CCUGGGGAGUACGGCCGCAAGGCUAAAACUCAAAGGAAUUGACGGGGGCCCGCACAAGCGGCGGAGCAUGCGGAUUAAUUCGAUGCAACGCGAAGAACCUUACCAAGGCGUGACAUAUACCGGAAACGGCCAGAGAUGGUCGCCCCGCAAGGUCGGUAUACAGGUGGUGCAUGGUUGUCGUCAGCUCGUGUCGUGAGAUGUUGGGUUAAGUCCCGCAACGAGCGCAACCCUCGUCCUAUGUUGCCAGCACGUCAUGGUGGGAACUCAUGGGAUACUGCCGGGGUCAACUCGGAGGAAGGUGGGGAUGAGGUCAAAUCAUCAUGCCCCUUAUGUCUUGGGCUUCACGCAUGCUACAAUGGCCGGUACAAUGGGCUGCGAUACCGCGAGGUGGAGCGAAUCCCAAAAAGCCGGUCUCAGUUCGGAUUGAGGUCUGCAACUCGACCUCAUGAAGUCGGAGUCGCUAGUAAUCGCAGAUCAGCAACGCUGCGGUGAAUACGUUCCCGGGCCUUGUACACACCGCCCGUCAAGUCAUGAAAGUCGGUAACACCCGAAGCCA
rnacentral:rRNA from 1 species